CUUGAGGCUCUGUGACAUCACAGAGGAGGGGAUGGAAAGACUCUGAAAGCCGGAGAAUAGGAUGCCUGCUGUAAGGACAAGGAUCCAUCAUUGUCUCCAUUCAUGAAAGGCUUUCAUAGAGAAGAAAGCCAGCUGGGAUCUGUGUUGAUAAGAGGGGUUUGCAUAAGAGAUCCUCCUGAGUGCUUCAUAGAAACUCGAAGAUGACGACCUCUACAGAAAAUCACAACCAACCAAAAUGUGGAGUUGUGGCACCUUUUUUUAAAUUCAGUGCCGAGAGGGAAUCCAGGGUCUCCCACAUGCUGAACAUGUGCUGUAUCACUUGAACUACAUCUGCAGCCUGAAAACAUCAAAUGUCCCUACUUCUACAUAGACUUCAGAAUCGGCUGAAAACAGAGAGAAGAAAAGAGAGUCAAGCACAGGAAUUCCAUACUGGGUCAGGCUGAAUGUGGGUUAUAUAGUUUAUAUUCAUAGUCGAUGCACAGAACUCAGUCAAUGGCCCCAACUAAACCCAACAGAUGUAGGGAAUGUAAUUCAGCUAUGUGCCUUGGAAAGAGAGGAAGAGCAAAGAUAUUUUUGAGGACAUACAUUCCUGCCCAUUAUCUAAAUCUUUAUUCCUCUAGUUCUCUAGAACAUAUUCUGAGAUCAUUCUCAAUUUUAUGGGUAUUAAUUCUUAAUUUGAAAUCACUAAUUACUGUCAAGGAGCCAAUCUCUUAAAUUAUUUGUUCUAAUUUGUCAUGUUACAA